rnacentral:rRNA from 1 species
CAGCCCCUCGAGUGGUGGGGAUGAUUAUUGGGCCUAAAGCGUCCGUAGCCUGCCGUGUAAGUUUCCCGUUAAAUCCAGCGUCUUAAGCGUUGGACCGCGGGAAAUACUGUACGGCUAGAGAGUGGGAGAGGUCAGCGGUAUUCUGGGGGUAGGGGCGAAAUCCUUUGAUCCCCGGAGGACCACCAGUGGCGAAGGCUGCUGACUAGAACACGUCUGACGGUCAGGGACGAAAGCUGGGGUAGCGAACCGGAUUAGAGACCCGAGUAGUCC